rnacentral:rRNA from 1 species
AGUCAAGUAAUUAAGUGCAUGUGGUGGAUGCCUUGGCAGUCAGAGGCGAUGAAAGACGUGAUAGCCUGCGAAAAGCUCCGGGGAGGCGGCAAAUAUCCUUUGAUCCGGAGAUGUCUGAAUGGGGGAACCCACCUACUUUAAGGUAGGUAUUGCAACAUGAAUACAUAGUGUUGCAAGGCGAACGAGGGGAAGUGAAACAUCUCAGUACCCUUAGGAAAAGAAAUCAAUUGAGAUUCCCUCAGUAGCGGCGAGCGAACGGGGAUCAGCCCAUUAAGUUAUGUGUGUUUUAGUGGAACGCUCUGGGAAGUGCGAACGUAGAGGGUGAUAUUCCCGUACACGAAAGGGCACACAUAAUGAUGACGAGUAGGGCGAGGCACGUGAAACCUUGUCUGAAUAUGGGGGGACCAUCCUCCAAGGCUAAAUACUCCUGACUGACCGAUAGUGAACCAGUACCGUGAGGGAAAGGCGAAAAGAACCCCUGUGAGGGGAGUGAAAUAGAUCCUGAAACCGCAUGCAUACAAGCAGUGGGAGCACCUUCGUGGUGUGACUGCGUACCUUUUGUAUAAUGGGUCAGCGACUUAUAUUCAGUAGCAAGGUUAACCGUAUAGGGGAGCCGUAGAGAAAUCGAGUCUUAAUAGGGCGUUUAGUUGCUGGGUAUAGACCCGAAACCAGGCGAUCUAUCCAUGAGCAGGUUGAAGGUUGGGUAACACUAACUGGAGGACCGAACCCACUGUCGUUGAAAAGCCAGGGGAUGACUUGUGGAUAGGGGUGAAAGGCUAAUCAAGCCUGGUGAUAGCUGGUUCUCCCCGAAAGCUAUUUAGGUAGCGCCUCGGACGAAUACCAUAGGGGGUAGAGCACUGUUUCGGCUAGGGGGUCAUCCCGACUUACCAAACCGAUGCAAACUCCGAAUACCUAUGAGUACUAUCCGGGAGACAGACUGCGGGUGCUAACGUCCGUAGUCAAGAGGAAAACAAUCCAGACCGCCAGCUAAGGCCCCAAAAUCAUAGUUAAGUGGGAAACGAUGUGGGAAGGCAUAGACAGCUAGGAGGUUGGCUUAGAAGCAGCCACCCUUUAAAGAAAGCGUAAUAGCUCACUAGUCGAGUCGGCCUGCGCGGAAGAUGUAACGGGGCUAAAACUAUGU